rnacentral:rRNA from 1 species
AGAGUUUGAUCAUGGCUCAGGACGAACGCUGGCGGCGCGCUUAACACAUGCAAGUCGAGCGAGAACCGGACCUUCGGGUCCGGGGACAGCGGCGAACGGGUGAGUAACACGUGAGUAAUCCACCCUUGGUACCGGGAUAGCCCGAGGAAACUCGGAUUAAUACCGGAUAGCCCGACAGCCUUUCGGGGCGGUCGGAAAAGGUAGCUUCGGCCUCCGACCAAGGACGAGCUCGCGGCGGAUUAGCUUGUUGGCGGGGUAACGGCCCACCAAGGCGACGAUCCGUAGCUGGUCUGAGAGGACGAUCAGCCACACUGGGACUGAGACACGGCCCAGACUCCUACGGGAGGCAGCAGUGGGGAAUCUUGCGCAAUGGGCGAAAGCCUGACGCAGCGACGCCGCGUGAGGGAAGAAGGCCUUCGGGUUGUAAACCUCUUUCAGGAGGGACGAAGCCACUCGGGUGAAUAGCCCAGAGGGUGACGGUACCUCCAGAAGAAGCCCCGGCUAACUACGUGCCAGCAGCCGCGGUAAUAC